UGAAAAAAUAUAAUUACAGGCGCGAUGUUCGCUUAAUAGGGAAGUCGGUUAAAAUCCGGCGCGGUCCCGCCGCUGUAACCGGGGACAAAAGCCCGUUAAUGCCACUGCUUGGCGUAUCCAAGUGGGAAGGUCGGGCAAGUAGAUCGAUCCGGGAGCCAGAAGACCUGCCUGUGACGAUAGUGCUGC
rnacentral:ncRNA from 2 species